rnacentral:rRNA from 1 species
UGCAGAGGUCCCAAGCGUUGUUCGGAUUCACUGGGCGUAAAGGGUGCGUAGGCGGUCGGGUAAGUCUGACGUGAAAUCUCCAAGCCUAACUUGGAAACUGCGUUGGAUACUAUCCGGCUUGAGGAAUGGAGGGGAGACUGGAAUACUUGGUGUAGCAGUGAAAUGCGUAGAUAUCAAGUGGAACACCAGUGGCGAAGGCGAGUCUCUGGACAUUUCCUGACGCUGAGGCACGAAAGCCAGGGGAGCAAACGGG